rnacentral:piRNA from 1 species
UAAACGUCUGGCAGUUCCUGCAACAGGUCCAC